ensembl:lncRNA
CACUGAUGAGAAGACAUACAAAAGGAAAUAGUGACUGGGCCCCCUUGGGUGCUGUUGCCUCCCAGCUUGUACAGAGCAUCCGGCUCUUGAAUGCCAGUGGGAGAGGCAUAAUGAAAUAGGCUCUGUCCUCUGCCAGGGGAGGAAUGCUGUGUGGUUGUGUGUGUGGCUUCUCUGUAUGUGGGCCUUGUAUUCGCCUUUGUGGCCCCUGAAUGCACAGCUCAUUGAACUCCAUAUUCCCAAGAACAGUAGGAGCCUCUUUUGACUUGUCAGCCAACCAGGAGAGAGGGUGGGGCAACAGUAUGUGAAAGAGAAUUGAGAAUGUCCAAAUUUCAAUCAGAUUUGGAAAUUAACAGUCAUAUUAAUAUAGGAUCAACUUAAUUACUGAUUGUUGAUCUUCCAGAAUUGAUAGCAGUUGGUAAGAUAGCAAUACAUAAAUGGAACACGCACAUGUUAGUGUUAAAUACAUUCGAUAGGUUCAAAAUGGCAGGAACGGUGCCAGCAUUGUUACUGGAUUAAUGAGCUGAGGCAAAUUUGUCCCUAGGAUAAUCCCACUAGUGACCCAGAAAUCUUUUAUUUCCUUGUAUGCUGAAAUACUUGAGUUACUCUACCAUUUAAAUAUAUUAAAGCUGUGCCUAAAUUAUAAUAUCAUGAUAAAUAUACUAUUAUUAUUUCAGGCCUUUCUCAUUGGCAUGGCUUCCUACAUCACCUCAAGCAAGUAGAGGUUCCACAAGUUUCCUCGUUCUUGAAAUUGCUUGAUCUAGAGAAGAUGAAGAAAUGGCCCACACCACAGCAUGCCCUGGGGACCAUUAAUCAAAAGAUAUUUGAGUGCCUCCUGACUGGAAAAUAAUCAGCUUUUAAAUAUCAGCCAUCCAAUUUAUCUUCCAUGUCUCUUCUAAAUGAUGAGAAAAUGGCCUUUGGGUAAUGAUACUGUCAGAUAGUACAUCACUUCCUCCUGAAAGCCCUGGAAGAGAAGAGGAAGGGGAUUCUGAAGAUGGCAUUGGCACUCAAGGAAGGAAACCCUCACUUGCGCAGGAGGGAGGCUGUGAUCUUUUGGGCGGCAUGUUCCCUGGGCCUGGCAGUCUGGUGGUUUCCAGGAAGGAAAGCAGAGGCUGCUUAGUGCCUUGUUAGCCUCACAUCGCCAUCGACGCUUCAGAACCGGAAGUGGCUAUGGUGCUCCCGGGGCCUUCCCUGCUUCGUGUACCCCACUUGCCUCUCUAGAUGAGGGUGUGGAGGAAAAUGUGUGUCCUUUCUGCACCUCCCCACUAUCCUACCAGGCAAUAUUUUCCACUCCUCACUUUGUGUUACUGGCUCUUUGUGCUCCCUUUGACCUAAAGAUGCUUAAGUUAAUACUAAUAGAUUUCUUUGUGUGAUUGCUGUUCUCCCCUUGGGACACCUUCUGUUCUUGUUACUCCUUUCUAGGCCGAUGUGAGAUUUAGGAAAAGCUUGCACCCUUGCAAAACAUUUUUACCUUGUUUGUAUUCCUGUUGAAUUCACCACGACUCUUACAUUUCUGAAGAACUGAAUUUCCAGACAUGAAAAACUUACCUCUGACUCCUGGAUCACUUUCUAGAUUUCUUAAGGCCUCAUACAUGUUCUACCCUUGUUAGCAGACACGUGAUCUCUAGUAGACGAUAAUCUCCUGAGACCAGGGCAGAUAUCUUUCUACUUAGUGUAGCCAUGGUGCCGACCUAAUGCACUGAUGUGUACGUUGCAAAGUGUGUGCUGAGUGAAUUCUUUAAAGUUCCAAAUUGCGUUACAGUUUGGUUUUAGUCGAGCCUUCAAGGGUACCCAUAGGCAUUGAAUUUGUUCGAUUGCCACCAACCUGAGAGUAUAUGUCCCUGUAUUUCUGACUUCCAAAUCUGAAAAACAGAGGAGGUUGGGCUCGGUGCUCUGUAAAGGCCUUCAAUCUCUGUGACUUUUCCCCCUUAGAUUUAUUAAGCACCCAUUGAGUGCAUAGUGUAGAUAUUCUGUUAUGGUGGGCAAGGGGGAGAAAUACAGUUUACAAUUCAGAUGUGAAGACAAAGCAAGUACACAAAACAAUCAGAAUAAUUACAGGGCAGCAGCAUCAUAACAUACAGAUUAACUAUAUGAUCGUGAUUCCAAUAUUGGUCUUGUGCGAAGAAGCACCCAAGGAUAUUUAUGUAAAACAC